GACUGUUACCCGGAAAUAAAGAAGGUCCGGCUAACUUCGUGCCAGCAGCCGCGGUAAUACGAAGGGACCUAGCGUANUCGAAUUACUGGGCUAAGAGUUCGUAGGUGGUUGAAAAAGUUGGUGGUGAAAUCCCAGAGCUUAACUCUGGAACUGCCAUCAAAACUUUUCAGCUAGAGUUUGAUAGAGGAAAGCAGAAUUUCUAGUGUAGAGGUGAAAUUCGUAGAUAUUAGAAAGAAUACCAAUUGCGAAGGCAGCUUUCUGGAUCAUUACUGACACUGAGGAACGAAAGCAUGGGUAGCGAAGAGGAUUAGAUACCCUCGUAGUCCAUGCCGUAAACGAUGUGUGUUAGACGUUGGAAAUUUAUUUUCAGUGUCGCAGCGAAAGCGAUAAACACACCGCCUGGGGAGUACGACCGCAAGGUUAAAACUCAAAUGAAUUGACGGGGACCCGCACAAGUAGUGGAGCAUGUGGUUUAAUUCGAAGAUACGCGCAGAACCUUACCAACACUUGACAUGUUCGUCGCGACUUUAAGAGAUUAGAGUUUUCGGUUCGGCCGGACGAAACACAGGUGCUGCAUGGCUGUCGUCAGCUCGUGUCGUGAGAUGUUGGGUUAAGUCCCGCAACGAGCGCAACCCUCACUUUUAGUUGCCAUCAUUUAGUUGGGCACUCUGAAAGAACUGCCAGUGAUAAGCUGGAGGAAGGUGGGGAUGACGUCAAGUCCUCAUGGCCCUUACGUGUUGGGCUACACACGUGCUACAAUGGUAUCUACAACAGGAAGCAAGACUGCGAAGUUUAGCAAAUCCUUAAAAGAUACCUCAGUUCGGAUUGCACUCUGCAACUCGAGUGCAUGAAGCUGGAAUUACUAGUAAUCGUGGAUCAGCGUGCCACGGUGAAUGCGUUCCCGGGUCUUGUACACACCGCCCGUCACACCAUGGGAGUUGGUUCUACCUUAAGGCAAGGCUUUAAACCCUUGACCACGGUAUAGUCAGCGACUGGGGUGAAGUCGUAACAAGGUAACCGUA
rnacentral:rRNA from 1 species